CUAAUUUGAGCAAGAAAAUGAAGGCUACCGGGAGUGGCCAAGGCCAAGGAUAAUUAAAAGAAUUUUCUCCAGGCUGUGGAACUUCUUUGUUCCAAUUUUAGAACUUUUCAAUGCGGAGAACAAACUAAACAGAGGUAGGAAUGCACUCAAAAAUUGCCUCCAUUGUCCUCACAGCCCUAGUCCAAUCUGGACAGUCAAGCUGGAACUGCUCUGAGAGGUCACAGAAGGGCAAAGGGAAGCAAGUCUGUACCAUUUCCUAUCAGGGGGUCUCAGGGUCCUAGCACCUUCAGGAUCUUAAGGACCAGGACCAGGACCAGCUAAGCAGUAGAGAAAGUGAAAUUUGGAAAUUCUUCCGGGUAACCCAAAAAGCAACAAUUGAAAGUUUCUUUCCAAUGUACUUCUUAUACCUAACUUCCUGGACCAUCUACCUGAGGCUUAUCUGGGUAUUUAAAGACCCAGGUUUAGGGGCCCUACUGAUUCAAAAUAGAACAUCUAAUGAGAAGAACCUGGGAUUGAGGAAUUUUGAAGAAACCCAAAAGAUACCCAGAAACGCUGUGUUAGAGAACCAUCUUGCCUCAUACAACUUUCAGCUGCAGCUGUUGACAUUUGAGACUGGAUAAUCCUCUGUUACUGGGGCUUCUUUGCAAAGGGCAUGAUGUUCAGCAGCAGCAUGGGCCACUACCCACUAGAUACCAAUAGCAGCACCAACGCUCCAGCUGUAACAGCCAAAAAUGCCUCCAGCCAUUUUCCCAUGUCCCUUGGAACACAGCUGCCCCUAAGAUUGGGACUAUGGUGAUGCUUCAGCCAAGUGUGAGUGUCUAGUGCUUCCCCAUGGGGUGCCUUGUCCAAAUGGCUUCCAUUAGCAUCCAUACACCGAGUCUCGUUCUCAUUAUUGUCUUCUAACCCUUUGCAUGAGGAUGAGUUCAAUGUGUUAAAUGAAGAAUUCUAACUUGAGAAUUUAUGAGAAAUGUGUUUAAAUCUACUUAUAUCUAGAUGCUCUAACAUUAAAGCAGUACAGAUGCAUUUUAAAUCAUGGAUAUUCUCAAAGACCUGACUCUAAUGCUUGGUGAUUAGAACUGUGCUCUGGGAGAACUUGUAGUAAGUGUUUUCAAAAAUGAA
rnacentral:lncRNA from 1 species